rnacentral:rRNA from 1 species
UACGGAGGAUGCAAGCGUUACUCGGAAUUACUGGGCGUAAAGGGUGAGUAGGCGGCUGGGCAAGUCAAGGAUGAAAGCCCGAGGCUCAACUUCGGAACCGUCCUUGAAACUGCUCAGCUUGAGGGUAGUUGAGGAGAGCGGAAUUCCCGGUGGAGCGGUGAAAUGCGUAGAUAUCGGGAGGAACACCUGAGGCGAAGGCGGCUCUCUAAGCUACUCCUGACGCUGAAUCACGAAAGCUAGGGGAGCAAACGGG